GAAUCACCUAUGAGACAAGCUUCUGACUAUGAAAGAUGGUCUAGCUAGAGCCACCAGCCAGCUUCCUCAAGAGCCUGUCACCUUCCCUGCCAUGAUGGACCGUAUCACUGAACUACGAGCCAAUCCUUGAGCUGCUUCAGUUAGGAUAUUUUGUCAAAGUCACACCAAAAAGAACAAUACAAGAUGCUGAGCAUGAGAAAACAGAACAAAAAGAUAGAGCAGGGAGCUCUGUCUCAAUGUAAACAGCGUGGCCUUGAUUUAGCAAUAAACAACACCUGGGAAUUA